AUGAGACGGGAUUUUGGGAAAAAUGUCUUACCGAUUUUAUUUCUAUAAGAUAUUUUCCAUCUUUCCUCCUCCUUCCGUCCUUCUCCUUCUUCAUCCAAUUGGACCAGUUCCCUUCCUGAAACAAAGCUCAAGAGCAAUGUGAGAGGGAUAAGGCUCGAGUCCUUGUUCACUGCAUGUCAGGAAAAAAUAGAUCACCAGCUAUUGUAGCAGCUUUCUUGAUGAAAUCUAAAAAGAACGGAGACCAUCUGUUG